AUGAACGCUGGCGGCGUGCCUAAUACAUGCAAGUCGAGCGAACAGACGAGGAGCUUGCUCCUCUGACGUUAGCGGCGGACGGGUGAGUAACACGUGGAUAACCUACCUAUAAGACUGGGAUAACUUCGGGAAACCGGAGCUAAUACCGGAUAAUAUAUUGAACCGCAUGGUUCAAUAGUGAAAGACGGUUUUGCUGUCACUUAUAGAUGGAUCCGCGCCGCAUUAGCUAGUUGGUAAGGUAACGGCUUACCAAGGCAAAGAUGCGUAGCCGACCUGAGAGGGUGAUCGGCCACACUGGAACUGAGACACGGUCCAGACUCCUACGGGAGGCAGCAGUAGGGAAUCUUCCGCAAUGGGCGAAAGCCUGACGGAGCAACGCCGCGUGAGUGAUGAAGGUCUUCGGAUCGUAAAACUCUGUUAUUAGGGAAGAACAAAUGUGUAAGUAACUAUGCACGUCUUGACGGUACCUAAUCAGAAAGCCACGGCUAACUACGUG
rnacentral:rRNA from 1 species